rnacentral:misc_RNA from 1 species
GAGGGUGCGAGCGUUAAUCGGAAUAACUGGGCGUAAAGGGCACGCAGGCGGUGACUUAAGUGAGGUGUGAAAGCCCCGGGCUUAACCUGGGAAUUGCAUUUCAUACUGGGUCGCUAGAGUACUUUAGGGAGGGGUAGAAUUCCACGUGUAGCGGUGAAAUGCGUAGAGAUGUGGAGGAAUACCGAAGGCGAAGGCAGCCCCUUGGGAAUGUACUGACGCUCAUGUGCGAAAGCGUGGGGAGCAAACAGGA